rnacentral:lncRNA from 13 species
AAAGAAUCCUUACCUAAAUCCAAAACCAACCAACGUCACAAACCUACGUCAUAAUUUAUGCAGGAACUAUUUCGGCUGGGAAGCAUGCAGACGCCUUUAGAUUAGAUCUCUGCAAAAACGUCAAAAUGUAUGACAGAUUUCUUGAGUUAUCAUAGAUGAAUUCUGGAAGUGUAUACUGCCGGCGGCGUCUCAAAAUGGACAAACAGUACUAUUUCCGAUUUUGUUGUCGUUUUUCAAACAAAGGUUUUUUAAAGUAUGAGAGCACAGCCGAACUGAAGCAUGCUGAUGCCUUUAGGGCGGCCGCAUGCUUCCCAACCUAAACAGUUCGUGCAUAUAUUAUUGCAUUUCUAUUUAUGUGAUAUGACAAUUUAGUCAUGUCCAUUUAGUAGUGUAAUUACUCAAUUCUGUGUUAAUAUUUGUGAUAGGUGAUACCCAAACGAUUCUGGAUUUCCAUAUAUUGUGAGAAAUGGAUAAAAGUGUUCUUCCUCUUCUAUUCAUGUUUGAACCAGUGAAGAGGGCCAGUGUGAUAAAAGCAGUAGGACAGCCCAUUCGACUCCACAGACGGUGUCCUGUAGAGGAAUCCUCUGAGCAUUGCAGGGGCCAGCUGAGGGUGAUUGGGGAUGAGGUGAACAGCAUGUUCUCCAAGGGAAAGGUGGGGUCCACACAUUGGCAGACCUGGAGGGGAGGAAUCAUCACAUGCCUGUUCACUGUCCUCAGUGGCAUUGGAUCUCUCUACCUGCUCCAGUACAGAAACCUCAGGACGUCCUAGAGACCCACUGGCCCACGGCGUCACACCGCACUUGACCUUUGACCUUUCUUAAUACAUUUCUAUCCAUUCCUACAGAAUGUCAUAAGGCAUUUAUGAUUUUAUUUAUUUGAUUGUUUAUUGAUUUAGUUGACAUUGCACAAUAUGUCAUAUAGAGUAGAAUAUUUGCAUUUUCUGUUCCUUUACUUGAAAAUAUAGGCCGACUAUUUUGAGGGGCUAGUUGACAGUGCUUACUGUGGAAAUGGCUCCACCUAGUGGUGUUGGAUGGUGUCUGAAGCUACUUAUUUAAUAGCGCCAAAAUCAUAGUGCUGUAGAGGAAUGUGUGUUGUAUCUCCACUCAGGAUUUUGGUAGCUUUAGACACCAUCAACAUCCACAGGAACUCUUUAAUGAUUUAAUAAUUUACUUCAAUCAUACUGUGAUUUCAGUGGAAUAUACAGUCACAUCCUAAAUUAUUUGCACCCUUGAUAAAGAUGAGCAAAAAAUACGGUAUAAAAUAAAUAAUAAAAAACUGAGCUACAUUGUAUGCAAAAAGAAAAUAAAACAAUUAUAUUUGUUUAUACAUGCACAAUUGCUAAAAGAAAAAGUAAUACAAAAAAGUUUAAAUAAAAAUAAUUUAAAAAAAAACAGCACCGCUGUUUUCAAUACCUUGUGUACCCUUCCCUUGUGAGGAUAAUGGCACUGAGGAUUUUUCUAUAAUGUUUUAUGAGAUUAAAGAACACAUUGGGAGAGAUCUUAGACCAUUCCUCCAUACAGAAUCUUUCCAGAUCCUUUAUAUUCUUCGGUCUGCGCUUAUGUACUGCCCUCUUCAAUUCAAACCACAGGUUUCCAAAUGAGGUUCAUGUACGGAGACUGAGGUGGCCAUUGCAAAAUGUUGAUUUUGUGGUCAAUUAACCAUUUAUUUGUGGAUGUACAGUGCAUUCAGAAAGUAUUCAGACCCCUUGACUUUUUCCACACUUUGUUACGUUAUUCUGUUUUUUUCCCCUCAUCAAUCUAUACACAAUAUCCCAUAAUGACAAAGCAAAAACCGUUUUUUCUAGAAAUAUCACAUUUACAUAAGUAUUCAGACCCUUUACUCAGUACUUUGUUGAAGCACCUUUGGCAGCGAUUACAGCCUUGAGUCUUUGGUAUGAUGCUACAAUCUUGGCACACCUUUAUUUGGGGAGUUUCUCCCAUUCUUCUCUGUAGAUCCUCUCAAGUGCUGUCAGGUUGGAUGGGGAGUGUCGCUGCACAGCUAUUUUCAGGUCUCUCCAGAGAUGUUCGAUCGGGUUCAAGUCUGGGCUCUGGCUGGGCCACUCAAGGACAUUCAGAGACUUGUCCUGAAGACACUCGUGUUUUCUUGGCUGUGUGCUUAGGGUUGUUGUCCUGUUGUAAGCUGAACCUUUGCCCCAGUCUGAGUUACUGAGCACUCUGGAGCAGGUUUUCAUCAAGCAAGUUUUCAUCUUUCCCUCGAUCCUGACUAGUCUCCCAGUCCCUGCUGUUGAAAAACAUCCCCACAGCAUGAUGCUGCCACCAACAUGUUCCUCCGUAGAGAUGGUGCCAGGUUUCCUCCAGACGUGACGCUUGGCAUUCAGGAAAAAUAGUUCAAUCUUGGUUUCAUCAGCCCAGGGUAUUUUGUUUCUCAUGGUCUGAGAGUCCUUUAGGUGCCUUUUGGCAAACACCAAGCGGGCUGUCAUAUGCCUUUAUUUGAGGAGUAGUUUCCGUCUGGCCACUCUAUCGUAAAGGCCGGAUUGGUGGAGUACUGCAGAGAUGAUUGUCCUUCUGGAAGGUUCUCCCAUCUCCACAGAGGAACUCUAUAGCUCUGUCAGAGUGACCAUCAGGUUCUUGGUCACUUCCCUGACCAAGGCCAUUCUCUCCAUGUUGGUGGCAGCAUCAUGCUGUGGGGAUGUUUUUCAACAGCAGGGACUGGGAGACUAGUCAGGAUCGAGGGAAAGAUGAAAACUCAGUCUGGCCGGGCGGCCAGCUCUAGGAAGAGUCUUAAUGGUUCCAAACUUCUUCCAAUUAAGAAUGACGGAGGCCACUGUGUUAUUGGGGACCUUCAAUGCUGCCAAAAUGUUUUGGUACCCUUCCCCAGAUCUGUGCUUUGGACAAUUCCUUCGACCCCGUGGCUUGGUUUUUGCUCUGACAUCAAUCGAAUUUCAAAUCAAAUGUAUUUAUAAAGCACUUUUUUACAUCAGCUGAUGUCACAAAGUGCUUUACAGAAACCCAGCCUAAAACUCCAAACAGCAAGCAAUGCAGAUGUAGAAGCACGGUGGCUAGGAAAAAUUCCCUAGAAAGGCAGGAACCUAGGAAGAAACAUAGAUAGGAACCAGGCUCUGAGGGGUGGCCAGUCCUCUUCUGGCUGUGCCGGGUGGAGAUUAUAACAGUACAUAGCCAAGAUGUUCAUAGAUGACCAGCAGGGUCAAAUAAUAAUAAUCACAGUGGUUGUAGAGGGUGCAACAGGUCAACACCUCAAGAGUAAAUGUUAGUUGGCUUUUCACAGCCGAUCAUUCAGAGUUAGAGACGGUAGGUCCGGUAGAGAGAGAGUCGAAAACAGCAGGUCCGGAACAAGGUAGCACGUCCGGUGAACAGGUCAGGGUUCCAUAGCCGCGGGCAGAACAGUUGAAACUGGAACAGCAGCACGACCAGGUGGACUGGGGACAGCAAGGGGCCAUCAGGCCAGGUAGUCCUGAGGUAUGAUCCUAGGGCUCAGGUCCUCCGAGAGAGGAGAGAGACAGAGAGAAUUAGAGGGAACAAACUUAAAAUCACACAGGACAUUGGAUAAGACAGGAUAAAUACUCCAGAUAUAACAGACUGAUCCUAGCCCCCCGACAAACUAUUGCAGCAUAAAUACUGGAAGCUAAGACAGGAGGGGUUGGGAGACACAGUGGCCCCGUCCGACGAUACCCCCGGACAGGGCCAACCAGGCUGGAUAUAAACCCACCCACUUCGCCAAAGCAAAGCCCCUACACUACUAGAGGGAUAUCUUCAAACCACCAACUUACUACCCUGAGGCGAGGCCGAGUAUAGCCCGCGAAGAUCUUCCACAUGGCACGAACUCGAGGGGGUCCCCAACCCAGACAGGAAGAUCAAGUCAGUGACUCAACCCACUCAAGUGACGCACCCCUCCCAGGGACGGCAUGGAAGAGCACCAGUAAGCCAGUGACUCAGCCCCCGUAAUAGGGUUAGAGGCAGAGAAUCCCAGUGGAGAGAAGGGAACCGGCCAGGCAGAGGCAGCAAGGGCGGUUCGUCGCUCCAGUGCCUUUCCAAUCAAUUGAAUUUACCACAGGUGGAAUCCACUCAAGUUGUAGAAACAUCUCAAGGAUGAUUAAUGGAAACAGGAUGCACCUGAACUCAAUUUUGAGUCUCAUAGCAAAGGGUCUGAAUACUUAUGUAAAUAAGGUAUUUCUUUUUUUUAUUUGUUUUAUAUUUGCAAAAAUGUCUAAAAACCUGUUUUUGCUUUGUCAUUAUGAGGUAUUGUGUGAGGGGAAAAAAUGAUUUAAUCCAUUUAAGAAUAAGGCUGUAAUGUCACAAAAUGUGGAAAAAGGAAGGGGUCUGAAUACUUUCCAAAUGCACUGUAUAACUGGAGUUAUUGUUUUACUGGAAGAUUUACAAAGUCAUUCACAGUGUAGGUUAACUCUUGAGGUCUCGCCUGUCUCCACAAAGUUUGGUAAAUCCGCCUUUAGUUUCAAUGCACCACAGUUAUGGAAUACCUUACAAAACAAAUUACACCUGCUCCAUUUUCAACUAAUCUGAACAUAGCACCUGGUUCUAAUCCAAGUGCCAAUGCCAUUUAACGAACUCCAGUGAGUUCUUUGCCUUUCAAAUCAUAUUUUUAUUAGUCACAUGCGCCGAAUACAGCAGGUGUAGACCUUACAGUGAAAUGCUUACUUACGAGCCCCUAACCAACAAUGCAGUUUUAAAAAAUACAGAUACGUAUAAGAGAUAAAAGUAACAAGUAAUUAAAGAGCAGCAGUAAAAUAACAAUAGCGAGACAAUAUACAGGGGGGUACCGAUACAGAGUCAAUGUGCGGGGGCACCAGUUAGUUGAAGUAGUAUGUACAUGUAGGAAGAAUUAUAAAAGUGACUAGAUAUAGCCAUUUGACUAGUGGUUCAGGAGUCUUAUGGCUUGGGGGUAGAAGCUGUUUAGUAG